AAAAAUAGUAACAUUUUUCCAAAAUAUUUAGGCAUGGAUUUUUUUUUACUUUCCUAAACACCUUUUCGGAAAUCUUUACCCCAAUUAGUAGGGCAAGGGUUUCCACUGUCAACCUUUACCCACUUUUUCGAUGAGAGCUGGAUAGCCAAUGAAAAUCACAAAUAAAAUGGACGUAUGUUGUUUCAUGCAUUCUUUUUAGACCUGUGAAAAUCAUUUACAACCUAUCAUGUAAUAGAAAAUUAUUUUAAAAAAAAGUGACAAAAAAUUACAAAAUAAAUGGCUAACCAUAAAGGAUUAUCCUACUUAGUGUAGGGGAAACAAAGAAAGUAGACAAUAAGACUUAUUCAAAGGCUACCUAAAUCACGUUUUAUGAAUAAAUUGAUAAUUAUUUCAUAUGUAUAAGUACCGAACUGUGCAUAGUGAGACACCCCAUGUCUAUUUCGUAGCAUAUCAGAUACUAUUAAUGUUUGGGAUUUUUAAAAUCAUUUUUGGUGAAUAGUGAUUCAUGUAAGAAUUAGGGCGGCUUGCAGAGUCGUUCCGAGAAUUCUCCGAGUGCGAGUGGAGUUUGAGUGGAGGAAUUUUCAUUGCACAGUCGAGAACGGAGUAAAAACUAAGUAAUAUCCGAAUGAAACCGAGUAAAAACGAAGGAAUAUUGGAGUGUACGCGCAACCACACUCCGAGGGCACUCCGAGGGCCCUCGGAGUGAAAUAUGGAAAAAAAUUCAAGAUGGCUGCGUUAUUAGAACCAAUUGUGGAAUUUCUUGAUUUAAUUGAUGAAGUAUUUCUAGAAAAUGAAGAAAGAAACGUUGCCAGGGACCCACGUCGGUAUUUGAGGGAUUUUAAAAAUCCACUGGAGUGGUUUAGUGACGUGCUGUUCAGACGACGAUAUCGUUUUACCAAGGAUCUUGUUCGGCAUCACAUUCUGCCUUUGCUAGUGUUUGAAGAACCACGGAGUCGUCGAGGAUUACCGCUACCGCCUGUCCUGCAGCUGCUAAUUGCCUUGCGAUUUUACGCAACAGGCACUUUCCAGAUGGUGGCAGGCGAGUUAACAGGCGUUAGCGAGUCCACAGUUUCCCGAAUUAUCAGACGUAUCUCUGUCGGUUUAGCGCAACAUACUCAACAUCUGAUACGGUUUCCCAAUGGCGAUGAAUUUCGAUUGAACAAGCUACGAUUUUAACACUUUCCCGGUGUUACAGGAGUGACUGCACCCACAUAAAAAUCAAAAGCCCCGGCGGUGCUCGGGGGGAAGUAUACAGCUUAUUCGAAGAUGGGCGUGUGCAGGGACUGCUGCUGGGAGACAGUGGUUACCCACAGUUGCCAUACCUGUUCACGUACAGAUGCAGAGCAGAGGCCAACAAUGAUGUGCCAAUCCCACCAGUUCCUCUUCGACCUGGGCGCGCCAUGGCCAUCAGGAACGAGUUCAUCAUCCGGCAUUUCAAUUAGCUGUAUUGAAAUGAUUUUUACACACAUUGUUUUACGUGGGUUUUUGAAUUCAGUGUUCAUGAUCGUACCGUUUAAUAUUAGGUUUGUUUGGCUGGAAUGAAUAUUUUAUGAUUUUUGCACUCAUUGUUAUGGCUACUUAUGAAUAAUUCAAUGAUAUAUCUUCAUUUGUUGCUAAGCCAUUCCAUUGCAUUUCCUUUAAUCCUUCACAUACCUACAGGCCCUGGCAUUUUGUUUCCAACUUGUAAACAAAUUUCAAUUAAAUUAAGAAAUUUUACAUGAACUUUCUAAUAAUGCAGCCUUUUACAAAUGUCUGAGUAAAGAAGUACAUUUGGUUAUAUUUUUGCUUUUUGAUUCUUUUGUAUUUUAACUUGAUGAAAUAGGUAAUGUUUUGUUAAAAGUAUUAUUGUGCAAACAUAUUUAUGUUGUUUCAAGUUUCAUUUUGUUCACUUACCUAUGAUAUAGGAUUGUAUUGCAGGAUCUUAUUUCAUUUUACUUUUGUUUAGUCAAAAUUGUUUAUAUCUUAAGAAAGAAAAGUAAUAUCAAAUAUAUUUGUUUAAAAACAUUUAGAUAUACAGGUGUGGUGAAAAUAGGUAGGAAACUGUGAAUUCAACUAUGUAUUAUGCAAAAACAUUGGGAAUCAGUUGGUAAAAACUGGUUUCAUGAUUGAAAUACUCUCAAUGUGUUGGGUAAGAAUGUUUCCAAAUGGAACAUUGAAAAUUAGUUGAUUGUUUUGCAGAUCCUGUUGCUGCCGCCAGUCGUGGCUCCACUCAAGUGCUCGGUGCUGCCCCUCAGCGGCAACGUGCAGUUCCAGCCCCUCGUGUGCCAGCAGUUAGUGGGCUGGCAGGGAUUCCUCGACGGGCAUGACCAGGAACAUUCAAACAUGCAGGAAUUACAUCAUAUUGAAGAUAAUUUAUUAUUUAAUGAUUUUGCAUGUUAUUUAGACAAACACAUUUCAGGGAAAUUGUGGGCAAACUUUGCCUAGGCUUGUAGUAAGCACUCAUGUGGUUUACCAUUGAACUACCCUUGUUUGUUUAAAAAAAAUAACAAUAUUCUUCUACAAUGUUUUUUAUUUUUGACAAGAAGGGUAAAGUUAUGAAAAUACAAAAGUACAGCUACAAAUCUUUUAAAUGCAUUGCCAAAAGCAAAGAUUUUACAUUUUAAAAUUUUCCUUGUUACAGUUGUUUUAAUUGUUUAAUAAUCAUGCAUUAAUACAUAACAAGAUAAUAUCAAGAAAUAUUGUUAUGGAACCUAUUGAACUAUAACAUUUUAAUGUAUAUAUAUAAUUGAUUGUGUAGUGUAUGUUAUUUCUUGUGGCAACAAUUUUUAAGUUGUUAAUUUUAUUCACGAUCUUAGUAUUUCAAUACUAUUAACACAAAUCACAACAUAGUACACAGUGUUAAAAGCCCUUCAUAAUUCUUGUACAUUUCUGUCUGAUGUUUCUCUGGAGACCUUUAGCCAUAUCUGUUUAAGAUCUGAUAUUGACUGCUACUAUGUAUGUAUUUCAUGUAUUUAUAAUAUGGUUACAAAAUACAAAAUACUUUAUGGUCACCUUUGCAUGUUAUUAUUUAUUUAAAUUGUUACUUUUAUUUAAAUGCUCUGCCACACACAUUAAUUUAUAUUGCAUGCCGUAUGUAAUUUCCAUCAGCUAAAACAUUUCAUGUACACAUACAUGUACAUUACAUACAUAUUUCACAUACCGCUACUUUAUGUUUAUUACUUUCAGUAUGCAUCUGAAAAUGUUCAAUUUCUGUGAGUUGAUGUUUUUGGAUUUUGAAUUACGGGAUGUGGUAUUAAUGUGUGUUUCGUACCCCUUUGAGUAAACCUGACAUGUUAUUGUAACUCAUUCUGGCUCAUACGUUUUGUGAUUCAGCACACCCUGUUUUAUUUUUUUUAAUGUGUGUGUGUGUGUGUGUGAUGCAUUAUUUGUGCACAAUUGUUACAAAAAUACAAUUAAUUGUAAUUAUUUUCUUCACAAUACUGGAAUUAUAAUAACUACUUUCAAUAGUCGUAAGCAAUCUUUAAUUUGUACAUUAAGUAAAACAAAUGAUCUAUUAUUCAGAAUCACUAAAAAUUACAAUAAAUAUGCAAGUUUCUUUCCUGUAUUAGAUAGCACAAUAAAAUUUAAAAAAAAAUACAACUAUACAUAACUUGAUUUUUUUUUGUGGUUAAUUAUGAUAUUGUUUCAAGUUAGUUUUCUUUUUUCCUGAAUUAUAUUUGUAAAGAAAUUAUUUACUAAUUGCUAAAUGUUGCAUGUUGUGUGUAUUGUUUUUGUUUUGUUGUCUUGUAUUUUGUAUUGUUUUGUUUUGUCUGUAUGUAUCUGUGUUUGUAUCGUGCCUACCACCCAAGGCCAUAAGCUGUAGGUAGGCACGCAACAAAUAUUAAAUAAAUAAAAUAAAUAAUA